GGGAAAUCGAGAAAUCGAGAAAUCGAGAAAUCGAGAAAUCGAGAAAUUGGGAAAUCGGAAAAUCGGGAAAUCGAGAAAGCAAAAACGCAAAAUCGAGAAAUUCAUUUCGCGUUUUCGCGUUUUUACUUUUGUGUUUUCGCGUUUUUGCUUUCUCGAUUUCUCGAUUUUCCGAUUUCCCUAUUUCUCGAUUUCCCUAUUCCUCGAUUUCCCU
rnacentral:snoRNA from 1 species